rnacentral:rRNA from 1 species
GACAGAGGAGCCAAGCGUUGUCCGGAUUGACGGGGCGUAAAGCGCACGCAGGCGGUCGUGCACGUGGGGUGUGAAAACUGGCGGCUUAACUGCCAGAGGCCACCUCAUACGGCGCGACUCGAGCCCUGCAGAGGUCCAUGGAAUUGCCGGUGUAGUGGUGAAAUGCGUAGAGAUCGGCAGGAACACCCAGGGGGAAACCAGUGGACUGGGCAGGAGCUGACGCUCAGGUGCGAAAGCGUGGGGAGCGAACCGG